GACUGGUACAAGUGCAGUGGCAUUUACAAAUAAUCAAUCACAACAACCAGUUACAGAUUUAUUUGUUUCUUCUCUACUCCCACUGAUUUACUUGACUAGUCUUAA
rnacentral:Y_RNA from 1 species